rnacentral:rRNA from 1 species
AUGCAACUCCUUUCCCCGCACCUGCAGGUGGUCUCCGUCCGGCCAGAGAUGGCCGGAGCCGCCCGCUCCCUUCUCCGACGUCCUCCUCUGUUGCUCCUCUGUCGCCGCGCCUCGCCGUCUCCCCAGGCCGCCCCGGCGCCCCUGCUGCCUAGGGACGGAAGCGCCAGGCUCCGCUGGUCCCUCCGGUGGCCGCGCCCUGGCCGGAGGUGGCCGGAGCAGGCCGGCCCCCUCGCCGCCCCUCUCCUGCUCUGCCUCUGCUUCACGCGAGGAACAGGGCGAGCGGGAGGAAGGGGACGAGCGCCCGUGGCCCCUCCAGCUGGCCAGGCGGGCCCCGCCCCCCUCUUGACCCCACGUGUCAGUGAGCCUGGAGCCGGCCCCGCGUUGACCCGGUCCGCUGACAUGGCUAAGUGGAGACGUAAUUACGUGAGUACAUUUUCAUCCCUCGAAAGCGUAUUUCUCAUUUUACUCCUCUACCUUAUCCACUCAAGGACCUGUUUGCUGAAGAAAUAUUCACGGAUUGGUCCCUGA